GGGGUUGUGGCUCAGUGGUAGAGUGCUUGCCUACAUGUGAGAGGCACUGGGUUCAAUCCUCAGCACCACA
rnacentral:tRNA from 1 species